UUCCGAUGACGUUCGGUGUCGACCCACCCCUAGCAGGACCCAAACUAGUGUUACCCACCCCAACCUGGCGUUGGACUAGCAAGCCUGAACCGAUUYGGCGUCGUUUCUGUGGUGUGGAACCUGUUUGGAAGUGACCUACUCCUAAACCAAGUGAUUCGGUGUGGGUUUGUAGGAACCCUUUUGGCGAGCUUAGUGGCGCAUUAGAACUUUGAGCGGAGAUUUUGGUGACGACCAUGGCGAUGACGUGGAGGAGGCAUGACAAGAGAGGACCAUAGGCUGCGUAGUUAUUUUCGCUUAACAUAGGUUUAGAUGGUUUAUACAUUAUUGUUUUGACAAUAAACCACUUGUUCUGUUUGAUUGUUGGGAGUUUCCCACCUAUUGUUUGCCAUGACUCGGGAUGGGUUCUUCAUUUAUUUUAUAUAAAUAUUUCACAGGGAGUUGUUUAUCUCGGGUUUAGAGAUAAUAUUUGACAGGGGGUUUAAUUAACGUUACCUAGAAUAGUGUAAAAUGUUCUGGGGCGUUACACCUUCGUUGUUUCUCGUUCUAUGAGAUAUCACAUUAUUCAACCAAGUUAGUGUGUAA